CCCUUAGAUGUUCUGGGCCGCGCGCGCGCUACACUGAUGCAUUCAACGAGUCUAAAACCUGCUCUGAUAGGGGUGGGUAAUCUUUUGAAUGUGCAUCGUGAUUGGGAUAGAUGAUUGCAAUUUUUCAUCUUCAACGAGGAAUGCCUAGUAAACGCAAGUCAUCAGCUUGCAUUGAUUACAUCCCUGCCCUUUGUACACACCGCCCGUCGCUCCUACCGAUUGAAUGAUCCGAUGAAUAUCAUGGAUUGAGGAUGCAAGCAGGUUCGCCUGUCUUCAUCUUCGAGAAGUGAAGUAAAUCUUAUCAUUUAGAGGAAGGAGAAGUCGUAACA
rnacentral:rRNA from 1 species